GUGUUGUUCUUCUGAAGGAUCGCUCGGCUGCCAAAUCAGAGCGCAGGGUGCGCGCCGGAAGAUCGCUGCUGCAGCAACAGAACAGAAGCAGCAGCACACGGGACCGAAAUGGCGUAGCGCGCAGUCCACUGCUGCAGCAGCGGGGCCAGGCUCGCCGAUCAUCCCAGAGCCUGGCCCGUCGUCCUCCAACCGACGAGUAUGAUGGAGGUGACUUUUAGUUCCAGUUCGUUUGCUUCGAAACCAGCACGAGAUUACCGGAGACGAACAGUGCCCUUCAUUUGUCAUAUCAAGAAGAGAAAGCAACAGUCCUGGAAGGAACUCAUGACCAGAUAAGAUCGUCAUGACUUUGUUCUUCAAGAUGCUCUCCAUCCCAAUAAGUUGACUUUCCUCCAGCGUUAUUUCAAGGAAGUGUUUGUUCAGCAUACCAACUGUCACUGGUCUAUGAAAAUAUCAUCUCUGCACUUUGGAGACGACAACUGAAGUUGUUUUUAUCCAUGAAACAACCAUAAACUCUUCAUGUGUCCAGAAAAGUUAAGUAACAAAAUUGUGCCACAGUAAAGAGUCAUCAUCUGGUCAUAUUUGUUAUAAAUAAAUCCAGUGGAGUAGGCCUAUUUAUAUGUUGCAGGUUGUUAAAAAGAAGUGAAAAGGGAAAUGGUGAAAGUGCACUUGCUUUGCAUGUAAAACAAAUGCAUAUUUAAAAAUGAAAUCAUGCAAGCAAGACAAAGUAGCUUCAUCCAACAGUUUUAUUAUAUGCAGAUUAAGUGCCUAGACUUAGUCUUUUAUUAAGUCUUGAAAAUGUCUGAAAGUUUCAUUUCUGAGACAAUAAACUGUAGACAGAUGUUCUCUUAAUUCAGAACUCAUAUUGGUGCUUUCGCAAAACCAUGAACCAUGCUUUCAUUUCAUUUUUCACUUGACAAACCAAGACAGACAGUGUGGAACACUGACCCGCGCAUUAGCUUUAUAAAUACCACAGUUAAACUUUCUUGUGGGAGUGGGGUGCUAAUGAGAUGCAGGACAUAAUGAAUUAUAAUUAUUUUACUACCUCAGAAGUUACUACAGCUCAGACCCACACAGCGAACACUCUGAUCAACCUAUAUUCACAUGCUUUUCUUACAGUAAUGUCAAUCGAGUCAUUGUUUGUCAAAUGGUUUGGGGAUCAGUUGAAAGAGGAGUAAGCAUGAUUCUUUUCACUUCUUGUACAUUAGUUUAUUAAUAGGUUUGGGAAUAUCACACAAAUCAUAAAGAGACCUUGUAGUUCACUGGUUGUACACUGGCGGCCAAAAGUUUGGAAUAAUUACAUUUUUUUUUAACCAUUUUUGAAAAGAAUAUAAGAAAAUCUUAAAAUAACUGGUUUCUAUUUGAAUAAAAAUAAUAAUAAUAAUUUAUUCAUGUGAUGGCAAAGCUGAAUUUUCACCAGGCAUUACUUGGUGUCACAUUAUCCUUCAUUAUUGUUAUCAAUAUUUAAGAUUUUUGUGGAGAUCAUGAGAUAUUAUAUAUUAUAAUAUACAUUAUUUGAGUAAUAGAAAGUUAACUGAACAGCAUUUAUUAGAAAUAUUUUUUUGUAACUUUAGUGUCUUUAUUGUCACUUUUGAUCAAUUUAAUGCAUUCUU